CCCAGACUCCUACGGGAGGCAGCAGUGAGGAAUAUUGGUCAAUGGUCGGGAGGCUGAACCAGCCAAGCCGCGUGAGGGAGGAAGGUACAGAGUAUCGUAAACCUCUUUUGUCAGGGAACAAAGACUGGGACGCGUCCCCGGAUGAGUGUACCUGAAGAAAAAGCAUCGGCUAACUCCGUGCCAGCAGCCGCGGUAAUACGGAGGAUGCGAGCGUUAUCCGGAUUUAUUGGGUUUAAAGGGUGCGUAGGCGGACAGUCAAGUCAGCGGUAAAAAUGCGGUGCUCAACGCCGUACAGCCGUUGAAACUGGCAGUCUUGAGUGGGCGAGAAGUAUGCGGAAUGCGUGGUGUAGCGGUGAAAUGCAUAGAUAUCACGCAGAACUCCGAUUGCGAAG
rnacentral:rRNA from 1 species